AGGGACUGCCUUAGGAGAAAGUU
rnacentral:miRNA from 1 species